UUCAAUAGUGAAAGAAAAAUGAAGAGUUUCAUUAUGUCUUUUCUUUUCGCUAUGACAAUCUUUUUCACUUUGUUUAAUCAUUCACUAGGUGAACCUAAAUUUUGCCCAGGAACUUUCACUGCUAAUGACGUAUGUGCUAACAUUGAUUGUGGAAUUCUAGCUCUAUCUCAAUGGCCAGCAAGUAAAAUGCCUCAUAGUUGUACUUGUGCUGCUUCGGGAAGUAGUCAAAGUCUUUGUACUUGUCAAAUUGUUUGUUAAGCAAAUAAUGAAAUGAAAAUAUUUAUUAUUGA